UUGCUUCGGCAGCCCAUAUACUAAAAUUGCAAUGAUACAGGGAAUAUUAACAUGGCCCCAGUGCAAGGACAACACUCAAAUUUGUGAAGUGUUCCAUACUUUU